GGGCCGGUAGUCUAGCGGAAGGAUUGAAAGCAUUCCCUUAGGCCCGCUUGGCGCGCGGGAGAUCCCGGGUUCAAAUCCCGGCCGGUCCA
rnacentral:tRNA from 2 species